rnacentral:rRNA from 1 species
ACUGCGUACCUUUUUGUAUAAUGGGUCAGCGACUUAUAUUCUGUAGCAAGGUUAACCGUAUAGGGAGCCGUAGGGAAACCGAGUCUUAACUGGGCGAAUAAGUUGCAGGGUAUAGACCCGAAACCCGGUGAUCUAGCCAUGGGCAGGUUGAAGGUUGGGUAACACUAACUGGAGGACCGAACCGACUAAUGUUGAAAAAUUAGCGGAUGACUUGUGGCUGGGGUGAAAGGCCAAUCAAACCGGGAGAUAGCUGGUUCUCCCGCUAUUUAGGUAGCGCCUCGUGAACUCAUCUUCGGGGUAGAGCACUGUUUCGACUAGGGGUCAUCCCGACUUACCAACUCGAUGCAAACUACGAAUACCGAAGAAUGUUAUCACGGGAGACACACGGCGGGUGCUAACGUUCGUCGUGAAGAGGAAACAACCCAGACCGCCAGCUAAGGUCCCAAAGUCAUAGUUAAGUGGGAAACGAAGUGGGAAGGCUCAGACAGCCAGGAUGUUGGCUUAGAAGCAGCCAUCAUUUAAAGAAAGCGUAAUAGCUCACUGGUCGAGUCGGCCUGCGCGGAAGAUGUAACGGGCUAAACUAUGCACCGAAGCUGCGGCAGCGAUAUGUAAAUAUUGUUGGGUAGGGGAGCGUUCUGUAAGCCUGUGAAGGUGUGCUGUGAGGCAUGCUGGAGGUAUCAGAAGUGCGAAUGCUGACAUAAGUAACGAUAAUGCGGGUGAAAAACCGCACGCCGGAAGACCAAGGGUUCCUGUCCAACGUUAAUCGGGGCAGGGUGAGUCGACCCUAAGGCGAGGCAGAAAUGCGUAGUCGAUGGGAAACGGGUUAAUAUUCCCGUACUGGUGAUAAUUGCGAUGGGGGACGGAGAAGGCUAGGCUAUCCGGGCGACGGUUGUCCCGGUUUAAGGAUGUAGGCAGGUGAAUUAGGCAAAUCCGGUUCACUAUAUGCUGAGGUCCGACGACGAGUCACUACGGUGAUGAAGUAGCUCAUGCCCCGCUUCCAGGAAAAGCCUCUAAGCUCUAGAUUAUCAUUAAUCGUACCCCAAACCGACACAGGUGGUCAGGUAGAGAAUACUCAGGCGCUUGAGAGAACUCGGGUGAAGGAACUAGGCAAAAUGGUGCCGUAACUUCGGGAGAAGGCACGCUGGCAUUAGGUGAAGUGAUUUACCAUGGAGCUGAAGCCAGUCGCAGAUACCAGCUGGCUGCAACUGUUUAUUAAAAACACAGCACUGUGCAAACACGAAAGUGGACGUAUACGGUGUGACGCCUGCCCGGUGCUGGAAGGUUAAUUGAUGGGGUUAUCCGUAGGAGAAGCUUGAUCGAAGCCCCAGUAAACGGCGGCCGUAACUAUAACGGUCCUAAGGUAGCGAAAUUCCUUGUCGGGUAAGUUCCGACCUGCACGAAUGGCGUAAUGAUGGCCAGGCUGUCUCCACCCGAGACUCAGUGAAAUUGAACUCGCUGUGAAGAUGCAGUGUACCGCGGCAAGACGGAAAGACCCCGUGAACCUUACUAUAGCUUGACACUGAACAUUGAGCCUUGAUGUGUAGGAUAGGUGGGAGGCUUUGAAGCGUGGACGCCAGUCUGCGUGGAGCCAACCUUGAAAUACCACCCUUUAAUGUUUGAUGUUCUAACGUUGCCCCAUUAUCUGGGGUGCGGACAGUGUCUGAGGUAGUUUGACUGGGGCGGUCUCCUCCCAAAGAGUAACGGAGGAGCACGAAGGUUGGCUAAGCAUGGUCGGACAUCAUGCGGUUAGUGCAAAGGCAUAAGCCAGCUUGACUGCGAGAGUGACGGCUCGAGCAGGUACGAAAGUAGGUCUUAGUGAUCCGGUGGUUCUGAAUGGAAGGGCCAUCGCUCAACGGAUAAAAGGUACUCCGGGGAUAACAGGCUGAUACCGCCCAAGAGUUCAUAUCGACGGCGGUGUUUGGCACCUCGAUGUCGGCUCAUCACAUCCUGGGGCUGAAGUAGGUCCUAAGGGUACGGCUGUUCGCCGUUUAAAGUGGUACGCGAGCUGGGUUUAGAACGUCGUGAGACAGUUCGGUCCCUAUCUGCCGUGGGCGUUGGAAGAUUGAAAGGGGCUGCUCCUAGUACGAGAGGACCGGAGUGGACGCACCACUGGUGUUCGGGUUGUCAUGCCAAUGGCAUUGCCCGGUAGCUAAGUGCGGAAGAGAUAACCGCUGAAAGCAUCUAAGCGGGAAACUUGCCUUGAGAUGAGUCUUCCCUGACCUUUAAGGGUCCUAAAGGAACGUUUAAGACUAAGACGUUGAUAGGUUGGUGUGUAAGCGUAGCGAUACGUUGAGCUAACCAAUACUAAUGAACCGUGAGGCUUAACCUG